rnacentral:rRNA from 1 species
UCAGGCCUAACACAUGCAAGUCGAGCGCGCCCUUCGGGGUGAGCGGCGGACGGGUUAGUAACGCGUGGGAAUAUGCCCAAAGGUACGGAAUAGCCUCUGGAAACGGAGAGUAAUACCGUAUGUGCCCUUCGGGGGAAAGAUUUAUCGCCUUUGGAUUAGCCCGCGUUAGAUUAGGUAGUUGGUGGGGUAAUGGCCUACCAAGCCUACGAUCUAUAGCUGGUUUUAGAGGAUGAUCAGCAACACUGGGACUGAGACACGGCCCAGACUCCUACGGGAGGCAGCAGUGGGGAAUCUUGGACAAUGGGGGCAACCCUGAUCCAGCCAUGCCGCGUGAGUGAUGAAGGCCUUAGGGUCGUAAAGCUCUUUCGCCUGUGAAGAUAAUGACGGUAGCAGGUAAAGAAACCCCGGCUAACUCCGUGCCAGCAGCCGCGGUAAUACGGAGGGGGUUAGCGUUGUUCGGAAUUACUGGGCGUAAAGCGCACGUAGGCGGAUCGGAAAGUUGGGGGUGAAAUCCCGGGGCUCAACCCCGGAACUGCCUCCAAAACUAUCGGUCUAGAGUUCGAGAGAGGUGAGUGGAAUUCCGAGUGUAGAGGUGAAAUUCGUAGAUAUUCGGAGGAACACCAGUGGCGAAGGCGGCUCACUGGCUCGAUACUGACGCUGAGGUGCGAAAGUGUGGGGAGCAAACAGGAUUAGAUACCCU